ACGGAGGAUUCGAGCGUUAUCCGGAUUUAUUGGGUUUAAAGGGUCCGUAGGCGGUUCUUUAAGUCAGUGGUGAAAUCCCAGAGCUCAACUCUGGAACUGCCAUUGAAACUGAAGAACUUGAAUAUGGUUGAGGUAGGCGGAAUACGUUAUGUAGCGGUGAAAUGCAUAGAUAUAACGUAGAACACCAAUUGCGAAGGCAGCUUACUAAACCAUUAUUGACGCUGAUGGACGAAAGCGUGGGGAGCGAACAGG
rnacentral:rRNA from 1 species